rnacentral:misc_RNA from 1 species
CCGGAAAAGCCUAGUUCCGGUGCACUGAGCAGCUUUUUUCAGCAGCUUUACUUUGUUCCUGAAUUGACGUGAAGGAGGUCUUGCUAUCGUCCUAAAAAUAGGAUGAAUUUGGCGAGUGGUGUUCCGCCUUCCGUCGAAGAAGGGGUAGGCGCGCGGCUUCUCCGCAAGGAAGAUGACCGCCUGAUGCGCGGACGGGGCGA